UACGUAGGGUGCGAGCGUUAAUCGGAAUUACUGGGCGUAAAGCGUGCGCAGGCGGUUCGUUGUGUCGGUGGUGAAAGCCCCGGGCUUAACUUGGGAAUGGCCAUGGAAACUGGCGAACUGGAGUGUGGCAGAGGGUGGUGGAAUUCCGCGUGUAGCAGUGAAAUGCGUAGAGAUGCGGAGGAACACCGAUGGCGAAGGCAGCCCCCUGGGCUAGCACUGACGCUCAGGCACGAAAGCGUGGGGAGCAAACAGG
rnacentral:rRNA from 1 species